CCUACGGGUGGCUGCAGUCGAGAAUCAUUCACAAUGGGGGAAACCCUGAUGGUGCGACGCCGCGUGGGGGAAUGAAGGUCUUCGGAUUGUAAACCCCUGUCAUGUGGGAGCAAAUUAAAAAGAUAGUACCACAAGAGGAAGAGACGGCUAACCCUGGGCCAGCAGCCGCGGUAAUACAGCGGUCUCAAGCGUUGUUCGGAGUCACUGGGCGUAAAGCGUGCGUAGGCUGUUUCGUAAGUCGUGUGUGAAGGGCACGGGCUCAACCCGCGGACGGCACAGAAUACUGCGAGACUAGGGUAAUGGAGGGGGAACCGGAAUUCUCGGUGUAGCAGUGAAAUGCGUAGAUAUCGGGAGGAACACUCGUGGCGAAGGCGGGUUCCUGGACAUGAACUGACGCUGAGGCACGAAGGCCAGGGGAGCGAAAGGGAUUAGAUACCCGGGUAGU
rnacentral:rRNA from 1 species